GGGGAACCUGCGGCUGGAUCACCUCCUUUCUAAGGAGCUCUCACUCGGUUUCGAGUGAGGCACCUCAGGUCAAAGCCCCGCAACGUAGGGAAGCGCUGGUUUCGAUCGCUAUGACGCCAGCAGGACCCGAUGCGGAAGUGAUGGGACUCAGUUUUGAGGGACCGAGAUCGUCUCGGUCGGCGGAAGCAUCGCAGCUUUCGCUAAUCCUGGGCCAGUAGCUCAGGUGGUUAGAGCGCACGCCUGAUAAGCGUGAGGUCGGCAGUUCAACUCUGCCCUGGCCCACCUGGCGUUCCUCGUUUUGACCCCUGGGGCUGUAGCUCAGCUGGGAGAGCGCGGGCUUUGCAAGCCUGAGGCCACCGGUUCGAUCCCGGUCAGCUCCACUCCCCCCCUCAUCAUACUCUUCCGGGCCGUAAGGCUCGGCGCGCCACCGCAGCGUGGUGGAGGUCAUCGACCUCGAGGUUCUCUGACAAUCUAAGUAGUAGCAAAAGAAACGUAACAAGCGUCCAAAGUUUAGCUGAUUUAGAAGGUAGAAGGUUCGAGCGACACGACAUGGGUCGUGGCGGCUCGAUACCCAAUAACACGCCAACGAAGCACAUCGCGAGAAGCGACUUCGUCGGCACGCUGCGAAUAAAGUGUUUUGGAGUUCGUCGAUCGGACUCCGGACACCAGCUCAAUGCGUGCCUUAGGGAUUAGGUCAAGCUACAAAGGGCGCAC
rnacentral:tRNA from 1 species